rnacentral:rRNA from 1 species
GAUGAACGCUAGCGGCAGGCUUAAUACAUGCAAGUCGAGGGGCAGCAUGAGUAGCAAUACUUGAUGGCGACCGGCAAACGGGUGCGGAACACGUACACAACCUUCCUUUCAGCGGGGAAUAGCCCAGAGAAACUUGGAUUAAUACCCCAUAGAAUAUUGAAGAGGCAUCUCUUUAUUAUUAAAGAUUUAUCACUGAAAGAUGGGUGUGCGGCUGAUUAGAUAGUUGGCGGGGUAACGGCCCACCAAGUCUACGAUCAGUAGCUGAUGUGAGAGCAUGAGCAGCCAAACGGGCACUGAGACAAGGGCCCGACUCCUACGGGAGGCAGCAGUAAGGAAUAUUGGGAAAUGGACGAAAGUCUGAACCAGCCAUGCCGCGUGAAGGAUGAAGGUCCUCUGGAUUGUAAACUUCUUUUAUAUGGGACGAAAAAAGGUCAUUCUUGAUCACUUGACGGUACCAUUUGAAUAAGCACCGGCUAACUCCGUGCCAGCCGCCGCCGUAAAAC